rnacentral:rRNA from 1 species
GAAUUUUGGACAAUGGGCGAAAGCCUGAUCCAUCAAUGCCGCGUGCAGGUUGAAGGCCUUCGGGUUGUAAACUGCUUUUGUACGGAACGAUAAUCUUUGGGUUAAUACCCUGACGUCUUGACUGUUCCGCAUGAAUAUGCACCGCCUAAACCCUUUCCAGCAGCCGCGGUAAAGCGUAGGGUCGAAGCGUAACUCGGAAUUACUGGGCGUAAAGCGUGCGCAGGCGGGUGUGUAAGACAGAGGUGAAAUCCCCGGGCUCAACCUGGGAACUGCCUUUGUGACUGCAAGGCUAGAGUACGGCAGAGGGGGGUGGAAUUCCGCGUGUAGAAGUGAAAUGCGUAGAUAUGCGGAGGAACACCGAUGGCGAAGGCAACCCACUGGGCCUGUACUGACGCUCAUGCACGAAAGCGUGGGGAGCAAACA